rnacentral:sRNA from 1 species
AGUACAGCUCAAACUCUACCGGAUGCGGAGUCAUACGCACGCGGUCAUCUUCUUCGCGACGCAGAGCGAUGUACGCAUCAAUUGCUUCGUCAGUGAACACGCCACCGGCUUUCAGGAACUCGCGGUCCAGAUCCAGUUCGUUCAGUGCUUCUUCCAGAGAGCCUGCAACCUGUGGGAUCUCUUUCGCUUCUUCUGGCGGCAGGUCAUACAGGUUUUUGUCCAUGGCUUCGCCCGGAUGGAUCUUG